AAAAAACACACCUUCUGUACAUCUGGUUGCCGGACAUGCUGGUAGACUUCUUCUUCAGAUUGCUGCCAUGGUGGUUUCGAUGGUUCUCUACAAGCAGAUUGGGAACAAGGCGUAGAGUUUUCUGUUUGGGAUGAGAUAACUACAUUAUAAUUGGUGGAGAAGUUUUACUUGUAAGCAGUUUUCUAUGUAUAAAGUUGUUUUUGAUCAUUUCAGUCAAAACAGACAGACGAACUUUAAUGAUCUAAAUUACGUUAUGGGCAUGUAGAGCAUUAAAAGAUGGAGAGCAAAUGUGUUCUUAGUUUUAAAACUUUAUCAGUAGAAUUUAUCCUGUGAUUUAUUUAUGUUUUAGCAAAGGCUGUCUGCCAACAUUAUAUAUGCUGAUGCAAAUAGCUAAUAUGUGAUGAUGCACACGGCAGAAAGGAUCUGCAUAAGUCAUGUAUGUUGUCACUCGCAUUCACUACAGUAAUAUCAUACAUUUAUUUUUGUAUUUUUGAUCAUAUUGAAAUAAAAAAUAUCACAAUCUUCA